UACGAAGGGGGCGUAGCGUUGUUCGGAAUUACUGGGCGUAAAGCGCACGUAGGCGGGUCGUUAAGUCAGGGGUGAAAUCCCGGAGCUCAACUCCGGAACUGCCUUUGAUACUGGCGAUCUAGAGAUCGAGAGAGGUGAGUGGAAUUCCGAGUGUAGAGGUGAAAUUCGUAGAUAUUCGGAAGAACACCAGUGGCGAAGGCGGCUCACUGGCUCGAUACUGACGCUGAGGUGCG
rnacentral:rRNA from 1 species